CUGUUACUCCCUCCGUUCCGAAUUACUUGUCUUAGAUUUGACUAGAUACGGAUGUAUCUAGAACUAAAAUGAGUAUAGAUACAUCCGUAUCUAGACAAAUCCAAGACAAGUAAUUCGGAACGGAGGGAGUACAUU
rfam:Triticum aestivum genome assembly, contig: Triticum_aestivum_CS42_TGACv1_scaffold_405616_5BL